rnacentral:tRNA from 1 species
GCCUCCGUAGUUCAAUGGAUAGAACGCAGGCCUUCUAAGCCGGAGAUAGAGGUUCGAUUCCUCUCGGGGGCA